rnacentral:lncRNA from 1 species
AAUUAAUGAAAUAAUUUAUUAAAAAAUUUAGGGUGUUACAUAUUCUCCUUUUUGGGAUUAUUUUCUCUUUUUGCCUUUGCCUUUUCCCUCAUUGUCUUUUCAUAAGCUCUUCGCCAUGUAUCAACUCUAUGCCAUGCCCUAAAUAAUCGCAUUACUUCCUUUUCCUUUCGCUUCCUUUUAGAAGCUAUUUCCCUUGCCUUUGCUUUUGCUUUCUUUGCCAAAGCUAUUUCCUUCUGCUUUGCUUCCUUUGCCAAAUCUUUUUCCUUCUGCUUUGCAUCCUUUUCUUUCUGCUUUGCUUCCUUUGCCAAAUCUUUUUCCUUCUGCUUUGCAUCCUUUUCUUUCUGCUUUGCUUCCUUUGCCAAAUCUUUUUCCUUCUGCUUUGCAUCCUUUUCUUUCUGCUUUGCUUCCUUUUCCAUCAUCCUUUCUUCCCUUGUUUUAUUUCCCGCACCAACAGGCUUAUUUUGAUCAAAAGAUUCUAUAUCUAUGGGUUUUUGCCCACCAUCAAGCUUAUCGACCAAAACAUUUUUCUUUGACUCUUUUGUAUAUUGUUUACCUUCUUUUAAUGUCUCUGUUGCCACAACAGAUAAAAGAAACAAUGCACAAAGGAAACACAAAUUAAAAGCUUUGAUUUUCAUCAUUGCUACAAUUUCUAAGAAUUUAAUUGUUGUGAAACAUAUGAAUAUAUUCGGCAACAUAAAUAGGUAUGAAAAUCAAAAGUAGAUUUAUUAAAUAAUAUAUUAUUUAAUUGGCUUUCGAGAAUAUUGAGCCAUUGAAGGGUUAUUGAGGUAGGUAAAGUGUUUAAACUUUUACAACUACGAGGUUGCUAGAUAAUUUCUUUAAUAAUACACAUAAUUCUAGCCUUUUGGUGAGCAUAAUUAUCAAACGUUGUCAAUAAAAAAUAGUUAUUGACACGAAAAAUUACUCUUUUAAAUUUUUCUCAAUUUCCUUUUAUGUCUAUAAGUUUUAUUUAUUUAUUUUUUAUUUAGUCAUUAAAUUUAUCUCAUUAGCACCUUAACUUUUAAGUUAUAAUCCAUGAUUGAUAAAAUUGAAGCCAUGAUUGAUAAAAUUGAGUUAAAAGUUUCAAAAAUGUUAUCUUUUAAGUUAUAAGUUCUGAUGAAAAUGAGUCAUGAUCGAUAAAAUUAAAACCAAAAAUAGAUUCAGUGGCCGAUUUUGUGUGGGACAGUGGUUGAGAUAGAUUUAAAUGACAAAUAAUUGUUGGGAGUGAAUUUGAGAGAAAAAAGAUUUGCUGCAAUUUGGUUGCCAUUAAUCUGAUUUUCAAUUUUUAUUGUUUUAAUUGCAGAAGGAGAGGUUGCAGAUAGCAGAUGUAUAGAAAAAAAGUAAAACUGUAAGACCCAACACAGGGUAGUAAAGUCUGAGGCAGAAAUAGGAGUGUAAUAAACAACUCGCAACAGCGCAUUCUACUCUGCACCUCCACAUUUAAACCUGUCACCCCUAACCAACGUGAAAAAUACAAUUUUUCCCUUCAACCUUUUUAAUUUUUCAUUUUUGCACCGCUCAUUCUAGAAUAUUUGAAUGUUUGGACAUGUCAAUUUCUAAAAUUUUCGAAACUUUAGAACAAUUCGAAAUAGAAAAUUCCAAAAUUUCUGAAACUUUCAAACAAUUCAAAACUUUCGAAAUUUUCCAGAUUUGGAAACUUUUGAAAGACUCCAAAUUUUUGAAACGUAACCCUUAUUUUGAAAAUUUCCAAAUAUGGAAACUUUCGAAACUUUCCAAAUUUUAAAAAUGUAAUCCUUAUUUCGAAAAUUUUAAAAUUCCGAAAGUUUCAAAACUUCUGAAACUAUCAAUUUUAAAACUUAUGAUAAACGGUUAAAAGGGUAAAACUGUUUUUCCAUGUGUCUUGAGGGGUGGCAAGUUUAGAUAUAGGGGUGCAUGGUAGAAUUAUCCUCGCACUAGUAAUAGCGCAAAUUAAUAUGCAGAAGUAGAAAAUAAGGAUGUAAACAGUUGUCUGAUCAAAAAUUCAUUUUCUAGUAUUUCUAAAAGUCAUUAAUAAAUAAUUUAUUUUAUUUAUCUACGCUAGAAACGUUUUCUCCAAAACACUCAUUUUAACAUAAUAUUAUAUUUCCUUAACAUAGAUAAAUCUAUAUUUUAAUCAAAAUUGUGAUGAUCACAAUAAUAACUAUAGUUAUUACUAUAAUAUUUUUCAAAUUAAUCACAUAAAAUGCAUCAUCUUUAUAGAAUAGUUGAAAUGAUCAAAUAAAUAAAUAUAACAUCAACAAUUUAUAAUAAUUACUAAAUCAAAAUAAAUAUUUAAAAAUCAUCAUACCGUAACAACUACAUAAAAAUAGAGAAAAUCAAUAUCAAUAUUACUAAUGUCUCAAAAUAAUUUUUUAUAAAAUAAUUAAUUAAAAUAUGAUAUAUUUAAAAAUUAAAUAUAAUUAUGUGCACACUUAACACUAGUCAACAUACAAGGAUACAUCAAAUUAAUUACAAAUGCAUAUAUGCACGUAGAAUCGUCUAAAAUCUUAGACUUUAAAAUGUGUAUACUAGAAUACUAUUAUUUUUAGAAAAAUAUAAAAAUAUAAUAUUUGAUAUCUAUAUCAAUCAUUUAGUUUAACAUGUACAAGAUUAAAACAUCAUAUAAAGACAAUUAAUCCUAAUUUUAAUGACUCAUUUAAGCACAAUAACAUGUCAAAAAUCAAUUAGCUUAGCAUUAUAAACAAACAUGACACAAUGAAUCAUUUAAACAAUUGCAUAUAAUAUUUCAAUCAUGAACAAAAUACCAUAAUUACUCACUAUAAAUUAUGAAGGAAAUAAGUCUUAUAGAUUUAGUAAUGAUAAACUUAUUACCUAAAGUUGAGUGAAGUGAAAUUUUGCCAAAUAGAUAGAUGAUUAACUGCAACUACUUUCUUAAACAAUAAUUUUUAAGUUUUAUUCUCUAAAAAAAAUUAAAUAAUAUUAUCAAUUUCUCAACAAGUUUCCCUUAUGUAAGAAAGAGAGAACAAUUUUUUAAUUAUUUCAUAUCCUUAUGAAUUUCAAAUAGAGGUACACAUAAGAAUUUGUAACAUGAGCAAUUUCUUAGAAAUCAAGAACUAGAGUACAUAAACAUAGUUAAAGAGGACAAAUAUUUUCUAGUUUUAGCCGCAAAAAAAAUUAAAUAAUAUUAUCAAUUUCUCAACAAGUUUCCCUUAAGUAAGAAAGAGAGAGCAAUUUUUCUAAUAGUUCAUACCCUUAUGAAUUUCAAAUAGAGAUACACAUAAGAAUUCGCAUAAUGAGCAAUUUCUUAAAAAUCAAGAACUAGAGUACAUAAACAUAGUGAAAGAGGACAAAUAUUUUCACCUAGUUUCAAAAUACACUCCAACCUAAUAUUCAUGUCACAUAAACUAUUAACAGUAGGGAUGUUCAAAAAAACCAAAAACUCAAGCAAACUGUCGAACCGAACCUAACCGAACUGGUUUUGAACUGAACUGGUUUAAGAACCGACCUGUUUUCGAACUGAUUUUUUAAAACUAGAACUGAAACAAACCGGUUUCAGUUCGAAAAAACCGAACCGAACCAGUUUUAGUUAAAAAAAACCGAAUCAAACUGGUUUUUAUUUCAAAAAACUUGAACCGAAUUUGUUUUUUUAGAAAUAGUUAGGGGUAAUUAUGUAAACUUUUGCCUAUAUGAACAAAAAAACUAACUUAAACCAGUUCGGUUUGGUUCAAAAUAAUAAACCGGUCACCACUUUUAUAAACAUGUUUGGUUCGAUUUUUUGAUCUGAAAACCGAUUCGGUUUGGUUUUUCCAAACUAUAAACCAAUUCGGUUCAAUUUUCAAACGGUUCUAGUUCAGAACUGAAUUUUGCCCACCCCUAAUUAACAACUCCAACACUGAUGUCACAUAAGACUCAUAGUCACUCAAUUUUUUUAUAAGACAUGAACAUGAUUUUCUUAAUAUAUUUCAAAAGAAAAUAUUUAACAAGUAUUCAUAACAAUAAUAAAAACAAGUUAGUGUUGCCUCUUUUAUUGACGAUAAGUCAUCGGGGUAGCUAGUCCAUCUUAGUCGUGUAGUCAACUAUUUAAGAUAAUCAUAAUUGUGGUCAUUCAAAUUCAAACAUGGGUAAUUAUCUUCAAAGUUGUCCAGGUGUAACACCCAAAUUUCUCAUUACCUUAUUUUAAAUAAUAUAAUGAUACAAUACUAUUUUUUUUAUGAGUGUUAAUAUGUGUCCUAAUUUCUUUAGGUGUGUCUUGUGUGUUGUCUUAGUAAUUGAUUUAAUUCAUCAAUAGUAACUAUAUUCAACUUAUAAAAAUAAAUAAAAUAAAAUAUGUAUACAUAUAUAUGUAUGUAUAAAAUAAUACGAUGAGUAAAAUUGUGUCGUUACAUUAGUUGUUACCUUUAGCACUAAUAGAAUGGGAUAAUAAUAAUAAUAAUAAUAAUAAUAAUAAUAAUAAUAAUAAUAAUAAUAAUAAUAAUAAUAAUAAUAAUAAUAAAACCUAGGCUAGUAUACUAUAAGUAUAUAUAUAUAUAUAUAUAUAUAUAGAUCAGCACAAGGUGGUUACGGGAAAGCAAAAAAAUUAGGGAAAGUAAAAAUUAGGGAAAGCAAGAAUUAAGGAAAGCAAAAAUUAGGGAAAGCAAAAGUAGCAACAGCCGCCUCCCAAGAUCAACCACAUUAGGUAUGCCUCCUUCUUCUCCCUUCAGACAAUUAGAAAUUCUUAAUACCCAUUUAAACGAGUAUCCUUCCUUUUAUAGCUAAUCCAAAAAUAGAUUAAUUUGACUAUUAUUUUGAUUAUUAUGUUGUUCAAUUUAAUUAAAAUAUUAACUUUAUGUAAAAAAAAAUUCUUUAGUUUGAAGAAUGUUAAAUUCACUCAAUAUAAUCUCUUUAAAUUUUUCAAUAAUAAUGAAAAACAAUAUUAGGGAGAAAUGUUUUGAUAUGGUUAUUACUCGCUAACGAAAUAAGAUACCGUAGCAUGAAAAUAAACAUGGAAUCAAGUUCAAGGUCAAAUUCAUUAAGCUACAAUAUUGUGAUUCAGGCCAAAUAAACAUAUUAGCUUUUAGAGGGUUGAUCUUUUCAUCCAUACAAGACAAGUACAUAUAACCUAAAAAUAAGAGCUUCAGGCAGCGUAAUCUGAAAUGAAUUGAUGUGGUUAUUAGGAAUUUUUAUUGAAUUGCUUUUUGAAUUGCCUUUUUGAAUUGCUCUAUAUGUAUAUCGUGAAACCAUGAAUUGCCCUAUAUGAAUAUCAUGAAUUGCCUUUUUGGUUAGAAGGAUUUUUAUUGUAUAUCAUGAAAUCUUCACUUGCAAAUGUAUUAGAGAGAGAGUUCUGCCAACUAGUUUAGAUUAUUCAAGGGUAUUUCUAACAAUAUUGAAUUUUGUUGUACCAUUAGUUGUACCAUUAUUUAUCUAGAUAAUUUAUUUAUUAUUUAUUUUAUUCACUUACUCAUUUAUUUAUUUAUUAUUUAUUUUAUUAUUNNNNNNNNNNNNNNNNNNNNNNNNNNNNNNNNNNNNNNNNNNNNNNNNNNNNNNNNNNNNNNNNNNNNNNNNNNNNNNNNNNNNNNNNNNNNNNNNNNNNNNNNNNNNNNNNNNNNNNNNNNNNNNNNNNNNNNNNNNNNNNNNNNNNNNNNNNNNNNNNNNNNNNNNNNNNNNNNNNNNNNNNNNNNNNNNNNNNNNNNNNNNNNNNNNNNNNNNNNNNNNNNNNNNNNNNNNNNNNNNNNNNNNNNNNNNNNNNNNNNNNNNNNNNNNNNNNNNNNNNNNNNNNNNNNNNNNNNNNNNNNNNNNNNNNNNNNNNNNNNNNNNNNNNNNNNNNNNNNNNNNNNNNNNNNNNNNNNNNNNNNNNNNNNNNNNNNNNNNNNNNNNNNNNNNNNNNNNNNNNNNNNNNNNNNNNNNNNNNNNNNNNNNNNNNNNNNNNNNNNNNNNNNNNNNNNNNNNNNNNNNNNNNNNNNNNNNNNNNNNNNNNNNNNNNNNNNNNNNNNNNNNNNNNNNNNNNNNNNNNNNNNNNNNNNNNNNNNNNNNNNNNNNNNNNNNNNNNNNNNNNNNNNNNNNNNNNNNNNNNNNNNNNNNNNNNNNUUUAUUAUUUAUUCAUUUACUUAUUCGUUUAUUUAUUAUUUAUUUUAUUUAUUCAUUUACUUAUUUAUUUAUUUAUUUAUUAUUUAUUCAUUCUUUAUUUAUUCGUUAUUAAUUUAUUAAUUAGUUUAUUAAAUAAUAAUAAUAAUAAUAAUAAUAAUAAUAAUAAUAAUAAUAAUAAUAAUAAUAAUAAUAAUAAUAAUAAUAAUAAUAAUAAUAAUAAUAAUAAUAAUAAUAAUAAUAAUGGAACCUUAGUUAUCCAUAUGCCAUAUAUAUACCACAACAUCUGGUGAUAGGUUAGAAUAGAAAGAACCUAGUGUAACAUAGCAGCAUAGCAGCUGCCUUAUUCUAGCCUUAGUUCCAGCUACUCUAUUUCUUCCGUGGUUCUAACAACAAUACAACCAUUCAGCCUUGGUUUCUAACGACAAUACAACCAUAUAGCAGUACACUAGAGCAGUUAUAUUGGUCUUAAUCCCAUCGAUUGAUACAAUUUUGUUUGAAUAAAAAGAAGAGAGCCUAUGUUCCUAAUUCCAUUAAUUUAAUAUACUUUCCCAAUUACAUCAAUACAUGGCAUGUGUUCUUUUUAUUUUAAUUUUUUUUGUAAUGAUAAAUCCGCUUAUUAAUUAUGUUUAUUUAUUUAUUUAUUUUGGAAUACUAAUUAAUGAAAGUUGUUUAUUAGUUUUUGCAAAACCUUAAAAUACAUGUUUGUAACAAUAAAAUGAACAAUUGUAUGUAAAUAAUAUUAUUAUUGUAUUAUUUGGAUGUUGUCCAGAAGUGUUAAUUAAUUGGAAAAUUUCCUAUUUAUCUAUAUACAUAGUUUAAAUUUUAUUUCAAAAUAUAAGUUGAAAAUUAUAAUUUUUAUAGUGAUGAACUAUUUAAAAAUGUGUUUUUGAUGAUUAAAAUAUGAAUGAAUUUUUAGAAGUCUUAAAGAUUUUAAAAAUAUCUGUGAUUUAUUUUAUUUGUAUUGUAUUUAGAAACGUAAUUUAUCUUAGUUGUUUUUAUUUAGACUUGAAUUAUUGAAAACUAAUUUAAAGAAAAUUUGGAAUUCUCAAUGAAUUAUUUUUGGGUGCUAAAUGGUUAGUGAUAUUUUUUAAUAAUAAUUUAAGUUUACAAAUUAAAUUUUAGAAGGAUGUGUAACCUUGAAAGUGGUUUUUGCACUACCUGAUUCAAUUUGGUUUGGUAAUGUAUUAUAUCUUCUAGUAAAUAAUUAUUUAUCUUAUCUUCUACUUGGAAAAUCUAUAUAUGCUUCCAUUUGUUGUAACUUUUAAGUGAUGGUUAACUCAAAAGAAAAUUUAAUCGUGAUCAAUUUGGAGCAGUUAGACCUCUAUGAGAAUAUGUUUCAUUUUUUGAAUCAUCGUUUGAGUUAUGAGAUGAACGUAAAAUAUUGGUGCUAAUUUUUGGAUUAGUUAUUUGAAUGUGUAUAUGAUUAUGUAAAUAUUAAAUUGUCUGUGCUUCAAGUGUUCUAAUUGUUGGGAAUUGGUGUAUAGAGUUAGAGUAGUCGAGAGCAUCUAAAAGUGAAACAGUUCUAUAUUUCUUCAAUCGGAUUAUUGAUUAUAUAUUGAUACUAGUGUCAUUUCCUUGUUGUUGUAACUAGUUGUAAAUUACCAAUAAAUUAUUGUCAAUGUGUAAUUAAGUGAGUUUUUAACUUGAAGUAAGGAGUAGGAGUUGUGGCGCCGCCUUCGCACUCUUGAACCACGUUAAAGAUACUUUUAAUUAUCCAUAUUAGAAAUUGAAUGACUGUGGUUAUAGUUCCUUAAGUAGUUGACUACAUGAGUAGGAGGGACUAGCUACCCCGAUGACUCAUCGUCAAUAAAACAGAAAACGAUAACUCAUUAUUUUGUUAGAAGUACCUUUUAAUUUUAUUUUUAAAUAGUUAAAAAACAUGUUCGUCGUUUAUAUCAAUUGAAUGAAUUUAAUUAUUAAAUACAUGUUAUUAGGAAAUAGUAUCUCUAUAUUAGUUUUUUUUUCUCCUUGAUUAUAUACAGCGCAUGUUUUUAUAGAGUAAUUGAUUGUAAAUCUACUAUAAUAUUAUUAAGUUGUUAGAUGUAUUUAAUAUUUUAAAAAUAGCUCUCUUUGUCAGACCUAAGUUAACUUUGUUGAAUGUUUGAUGAUAGGAUUUAGGCUUUAUUUUAAGGAGUAAAACUAGUAAUAUUUGGUUUGAAAGAACUAGUUGAAAUUGACAACGUACUUGGAAUGUGUUUCAUUAAUUAAUCAAACUAAAUGAACUACGUUAUUAUUUGCAAAAUCUAUAUGUUAUGUUAUGUUUUAUAUGUAAAUUACAGUGACUAACUCUAUGGUAUUUUAUUUCGUAAUGGAUGAUAAAUGUGAUAUCUUAUUUCAUAAUUGAAUGAUAAAUGUUGUGUUUAAUUAAUUUAUUUUGUCAUGUUAUUCUAUCAUGCUAAUAUAGUUGAUUUUUUACAUGUUGUGCUUAAUUGGAGAUUGAAUGUCUAAAAUAUGGUUAUAGACUAAGUUUGAAUCUUGAGGGUGGUAAGUUGGAUAUUAGUUCACUCAUCGAAAAUUUUGAGGACGAAAUUCUUUAACAAGGGGAGAAUUGUAACACCCCAAAUUUUAUAAUAAACUAUUUUAUUAAUUAAAUAGAAUUUUAAAUAAUUAAUUUGAUGAUUAAUAUUAUUUUAGAAUAUAUGUUGAUAAAUUUUGUGGCUAAUUUUGGUUAUAUGAAUGCUUUUUGUGAUGUGCUAGUUUGAUACAUGUUAUAUUAAGUAGCGAUAUAAAUAAUAAAUAUUUUAUUUUAUAAUUUUAUAUGUUUUUCUAAAAAUAAUAGUAUUUUAGUGUAAUAUUUUAAAGAAUAAGAUUUUAUGCAAUUUUAAGUGUAUAUGUGAGUUCGUAAUUAAUGUGAUAUUUUCUUGUAUGUUUGAUUAUUUGUAAAGUGUGCACAUAUUUAUAUUUUAAUUAUUUCUAAGUAUCUCUUAUUUUAAUUAUUUACUUUAUAAAUAAUUAUCUUUAGAUAUUAGUAAUGGUGUGAUUGAGUUUCUUUAUUUUUAAAUAAUUGUUAUGGUAUGCUGAUUUUAUAUAUAUUUAUUAUGAUUUAGUAAUUAAUAUAAAAUAUUGAUGUUAUAUUUAUUUAUUUUAUAAUUUUGACUAUUUUCUAAUAUGAUGAUAUUAUUAUAAUGUGAGUAUUUUGAGAAAUAAAUAUGAUUGUAGAGAUUAUUUUGAAUGUGAGAGUUUUAAUUAUUAGUAAUAUGUUUUUUUAUAUUGAUUAUUUUAAUUACUCUAAUUUAGCAUAUAUUACUUAUGAAAUAUUAGUAAUGUUUUGAAAAUUUAAAAAUGUUUGGAAGAGUAUUAAAAAACUGAGAUUAAGUAACAAUUAAUUUUGUUUUAGCAAAAUAAAAAUAAUAAUAGUAAAACAUAAAUUAAAUAAAGGACAAAUGGGCUUGACCCAUUUAUGUUAACCCUAAUUAUGUUAAUAAAAUAAAAAUAAGAAAAGUAAGAAAGGAGUUGUAGCAGCCGUAUAAGCAAAGAGUAAACCCAUCAACAAGCCUAUUGUAUGGCACCGACGAUCAAUAACUAUUCCAGAAAAUUUUCUCCGUUCUCGUCCAAAUUUCAGUAUGUUGUUUUAUCCAUUUAGAUAGUCAAAUAAACAUACUUCCUCAUAUUUUUAACCAUUACAAUUUCUCUCUAAAAUACCCGACUUAUCCGUUUGUAGAAUUCGUUAUUUUGCACCGUUCUCCUUCACCGUAAGCCCGAUUUGAGUGAAACCAACGUCAAAACGACCGUGUGAAAAGUGGCUAUAUUUUCCACUAAUCGGUUUUCUGAUUUAUGGUAAUUUUACUUGACCGAAUUUCGAAUUUAGUUUUUAAAGUAUGUUCUCAUACUUUAUUUUUAACGUUUACCCAUAAACUGUCGAGUUAGAUCGAUUGAAAGACAAAGAGUCAAUGAACAAAGGCUGUUUGCUCGUGGAAUCAUAGUCGUGUAUGAAAGCGUCGAAAUAAGGUAAGGGGUGAGAGAACGUUUGAAUUCAUGAGUAUAAUAUAUUGUGAGAUGAACGGGAAAACCUUAUUUCCGAAUGAUUCAUCUGGGGAUCGCUACGUACGGCAGUAGCCCUUUGAGUGAUAAAUUAAUUAAUAUGCGAAAUAGAAAUUGUGAGAUUAAAAUAUGGAAUAGAAAUACUUAUAAGGUGUUGAUUGAUUCGUUAAAUCUGUGGUAUUUAAUAUUAUUGUGAUAUUUGAUUUAAUUUCGUUAAAUGUUGGGCAUUUGAUAUUAUUGUGAUAUUUGAUUUAAUUUCGUUAAAUGUGUGACAUUUGAUAUUAUUGUGAUGUUUGAUGUAUUAUCGUUAAAUGUGUGAUAUUUCAUAUUAUUGUGAUAUUGGAUGUCAAAUGAAUUUUAUGAAUAUGUUUGAUUACACAUGUUUAGGUGAUGUGAUAAUAAAAGGUGGAUGCAUUUUGAUAAGUUUUAUGUGAUUAUGAUGAUGUAUAAUUAAUAAUAAUGAUGUUAUAAAUUUGUGAUAAGUCUAUGUGAUGAUGUAUGAUUGAUGAGAUUGAUGUUAUAAGAUUGUGAUGAGUAUAUGUGAUGACGUGUGAUUAAUGAUAGUGAUGUUAUAAAUUGUGAUGAGAAUAGUGAUUCCAAUUUGUGUUUGAGAUGAAGGUCUUAAUGGAGUACCGUAGGCCAACGAGGGGAGAAAAUAAAUAUUGAGAAUUUUUGAAGUGGAGAUUAUUUUGUCAUCAUAUAGGUAGGGCCUGACAAGCCUAGUUAUUUCGGGGAAGUACAACUGAAUGAGCCUGAUCGUGGCGGUCUACUGUUGAGCCUUAAGGCAAGACUGUUAGACCUUGGAGGUAUUCGGGUGGGGAAUUCCUAGAUGACUUGGAGGUAGCACCCCAAAUGUCGGGAGCUACCACGCAACACACGUUUACCUCGACUGUUGCGUAUAUGUGUCUCGGGUUGAGUUGAGGGGAUCUAUGAGGACAUGACCAAUUGGAAUUGUCCGUCCACUAGGAUGGUGGCAUCGUAUCAAGCCUCCUAACCAAGUACUUCAGAGUUAGAAUGGUACCACAUUGUGAAGUAGAGUCUAAGCUCAUGCAUAGCAUUGCAUUUCCUUGUGAUUGUUUCGUUGUGAUUGAUGUGUUUCAAAAGUAAUAAUAAUUACUCUUAGAUGAUUUGAUGCAUAUUAUAAUGAGAUGAUUAUUUUACUUGAGUGAAUUUGAUGUUAUAAUAUGAUAUUAUUUACUUAAAUAUUUUGAUAUAUCGUAAUGUGAUUAUGAUACGGUCUAUUAUGAUUGUUGCGUGUUCUUCUUACUUAUGUUAUACUAUUAACAUGAUUUCGAAACUCACCUCCUUCGUUGGUUGUGUUUGACUGGCUUGGCCCUGCAUUUGCGAAAUCACAGUUGUUAUAGGUUAAUGAGUCUUGAAGUUCAUGUUUGGGAGGAACCCCGCUCUAAUAGGUGAUACCGGGAAUAAGGGUUGUAAUUGGUAUUUUACUUAUUUAUUUUGAAACGACUUUUGUAUGAAAACCAUAUAAGUACUAGUAAGUUUUUAGAAUUAAAUCAAGUAAUGAUACUUAAAUCAAGCUUAUUGAGAUUGCACUAUGGAGUAAAGAAGUUUAGAGUGUUCCUUUUGAUUUUUGAGAAACGUGAUAUCCUAAAUUAAAAAUUAAAGUUUUUAUUUUCUUGAAAACAUAUUUUUAUUUAUUCGCUGCAAAAACUUUGUAGAAAUAUGAUAUUAAUUAUUAUAUAUAUUAUUUUUGGGGUUUAGGGUAUCACAUUAGUGGUAUCAGAGCUCAAUUGGUAGUGGGAUCUUUGAGGAGGCGGUACUUAUCCCUAGGUANNNNNNNNNNGGGGGGGGGCGAGAAGAUCGUGAAGUAACACAGCCGGUAAUGCUGGAGGGCCGGGGUGUUACAAAGCAUUCUACCCUGUACCUCCACAUUUAAACCUGUCACCCCCAACCAACGUGAAAAAUACAAUUUUUCCCUUCGAUCUGUUUAAUAACUCUGGAGGGCCGGGGUGUUACAGAGCAUUCUAUCCUGUACCUCCAUAUUUAAACCUGUCACCCCCAACCAACAUGAAAAUUUGAAACGUAAUCCUUAUUUUGAAAAUUUCCAAAUUUGGAAACUUUCGAAACAUUCCAAAUUUUAAAAAUGUAAUCCUUAUUUCGAAAAUUUUAAAAUUCAGAAAGUUUCAAAAUUUGAAACUUCUGAAACUAUCAAUUUUGAAACUUAUGAUAAAUGGUUAAAAGGGUAAAAUUGUAUUUCCAUGUGUCUUGAGGGGUGACAAGUUUAGGUAUGGGGGUGCAUGGUAGAAAUGUCCUCACAGAAAAGUCCAACCUGUAAUAGCGCAAAUUAAUAUGCAGAAGUAGAAAAUAAGGGUGUAAACAGUUGUCUGGUCUAAAAUUCAUUUUUAGUAUUUCUAAAAGUCAUUAACAAGUAAUUUAUUUAAUUUAUCUACGCUAGAAACGUUUUCUCCAAAACACUCAUUUUAACAUAGAUAAAUCUAAUUUUAAUCAUAAUAUCAAUAUAACUAAUGUCUCAAGAUAAUUUUUUAUAAAAUAAUUAAUUAAAAUAAGAUAUACUUAAAAAUAAUUAAAUAUAAUUAUGUACACACUUAACAUUAGUCAACAUACAAGGAUACAUCAAAUUAACUACAAAUGCAUAUAUGCACGUAGAAUCGCCUAAAAUCUUAAACUUUAAAAUGUGUACACUAAAAUACUAUUAUUUUUAGAAAAAUAUAAAAAAUAUAAUAUUUGAUAUCUAUAUCAAUCAUUUAGUUUAACAUGUACAAGAUUAAAACAUCAUAUAAAGAAAAUUAAUCUUAAAUUUAAUUAACAUAUAUUAUAAAUUUCAUUACUCAUUUAAGCACAACAUGUCAAAAAUCAAUUAGUUUAGCAUUAUAAACUAACAUGACAUAAUGAAUCAUUUAAACAAUUGCAUAUAAUAUUUCAAUCAUGAGCGAAAUACCAUAAUUACUCACUAUAAAUUACGAAGGAAAUAAGUCUUAUAGAUUUAGUAAUGAUAAACAUAUUACCUAAAGUUGAGUGAAGCAAAAUUAUGCCGAAUAGAUGGUUAACUCCAACUAAUUUCUCAAACAAUAAUUUUUAAGUUUUACUCUCUAAAAAAGUAUCUUCAAAGUUGUCCAAGAGUGCGGAAGCGACACCAUAACUAAUAGUUCUACUUCAAGUUAAAAAUUCACUUAAUCACACAUUCAUAAUAAUUUAUUUGUAACCUACGAGUAGUAACAAAGACACUGCAUCAAUAUAUAAUUAAUAAUUUGAUAAAAAAAAUAUAGAACUAUUUCACCUUUAGAUGCUCUCGACUACUCUUACUCUAUACACUAAUACCCAAUAAAUAGAACACUUGAAAAACAAACAAUUUAAUAUUUAGAUAAUCGUAUACACCAUCACAUAAUUAAUCCAAAAAUUAUCAUCAAGAUUUGUUCAUCUCAUAACUCAAACGAUGAUUCUCACUUAUGUAACAUACUCUCAUGGAAGACUAACUGUUCCAAAUUGAUCACGACUAAAUUUUCUUUUGAAUUAAUCCUCAUCAUUUAAAAGUCACAACAAAGUAAAGGAAAUAUUUUCCAAAUAGUGAAAUAAUUAUUUACCAAAAGAUUCAACACGCUAUCAAACCAAAUUGAAUCACGUAGUGCAUAAACCACUUUAAAGGUUACAUGUAAUUCUAAAAAUUGAUUUCUACACUUAAAUUAUUAUAAAAUGUAUCACUAAUCAUUUAGCACAAAAAAAAAAAAUCAUUGAGAGUUCAAAGUUUUUUUCUUAAACUAUUUUUCAAUAAAUCACGUCUAAAUAAAAAAAAAACUAAAAUAAAUUACGUGUAUUAUAAAAAUCUAUAAGAUUUCUAAAAUUUCACUUGUAUUUUGAUGAUCGAAAACACAUUUUAUAUAAAUAAUCACUAUAAAAUAAUUAUUUUCAACUUAUAUUUUGAAAGAAAAUUUAAACUAUAUAUAUAUAUAUACCUAUAUAUACUAAAGUAGUGCACAUGACACAACUCAUAAGACAUAUUUGGUUAUGAUAAUGAAUUACACCAAUUGACAAAUCUACAAAAUAACUUCCUCUCACAUCAAGUACUCAAUAGCCUUAUAGAUACAUCUCGAGUUUCUAUCAAGCUAUAAAAUUGAUCUAAAACAAAACACACUAUCAAUUUUAAAGAUUUUAGAGGUCCGUUUUAAUCUUAAAAAUUGGAUCCCUAAUAAUAAAAUACAAUUUUAUACAAAUUUCUACUAAAAAAAAACGUUCUACUCAUAAAAUAAAUUGAUUAUCCAAAUUUUAGAUAAUUUUUCAAAAGGAGUUUAACUAUUGAGAUAAUUGUUUUAAAAUCUUGGUUUUAUUUUUCUUCUCUUUUUCAAUUAGUAGACAUUUUAUCAUUUUACUUUUUUUAUUAACACAAUUAUAAAUUAAUUAUGAAUUCUUCAAAUCUAAACUUCAAGUUAAACUCUAACUAAUUCACAAAAUUAGAAUAAAAAAUCAAUUAUUUCAAAUAAAUAUUCCGACAUUCUCAGGAUCCAAUAUUUACACGAGGUCAUUCUAAACCAUGUGAACAACAAUUUUUUUUUUUCUUAAAAAUAACACAUAAUAAAAUAUGGUGUAAAUUUUCAGCUAUUUUAAACAUUAAAUAAAAUCAAGAGUAUAGAAUUAUUAUUAUUUUAUAAAUCAACAAAAAUUCAACUUAAUGUAAUUUUUUUAAAUAAUAAAAAAUAAUUCAAAUAAAAGUUAUUUUCAUUCUACAAAAUAAGCCAAAUGUAACUCCUGUCGAUUUUUUUUUUGUAUUCUAAAAACUCAUAACAACGUUCUAAAUUAAUUUCGAUAAAAUUUUUAAUAAUCAUGUUAUGCUAUGAACCCAAAAGCAAGAUCUAUAAUCGAUAAUUAAUAUUACCUCAAUUAAAUUAAUAAUUUCAGAGAUAUAGCUAGUCAAUAAAAAAAUUAUUUCUAACUACCACUCUAACAAAUUACAGGAAAAAACUCAUUUUGAUUCUUUAAUUCUGACCCAUCUCUCUUAUUAACCCAUUAUGUUUUUAAUUUUUUGAAUUGCUUUUGUUUUAUCUGUUAAUCUUUUUUUAUUAUUUUCUUCUAGAUCUCUUUUGAAAUAUAUAAUGGGGUUUCUUUUUUUUUUUUUAACAAAAUUAUUUUUAAUUUAUGUUGAAAUAAUUAAUUCGUCGUUUUGAAUUUUUUUUGUAAUUCAUAUGUUCAAUGUUUUGAAUUUUAUUCUAAAAUCAUGUAUUUUUAUAAUUUAUCAUGCCAAACACUACAUCAUAACAACCACCACGUGACAUUAUUUUAAUGAAAUUACUAUAAAAAAAACGACAUUAAUGUAAACGAAGUAUAUAUAUGAAUUAUAAAUAUAUACUACUGAAAUGAAAUAUAAACAAAAUAAAAAAUAAAAAUUGAUGUAAUUUAUUUGAACUUUUAACAGCAUAAAUCAACUUUUUAUAAUAUUUGUAUUUGUAUUUUAUUUAAAAUGGACUACAGUAUAUUGUAUAAAUAAUUAUACCAAAAAUAUAUAGCUUAAAUUUUUAUUGCUUUUGAGAAUUAAACAGUUUAUUAUAAAAACCAUUAGCAUAACAGUAAUAUAUAAUUGGUUACUAAGGAAAUUGAUCUAAAUACAAUAAAUUUUUAUUUAGGUAUCAAUAUCAACAAAAUAAAAUAGACAAGUAUAGAAAAAGUAAAAUAGUAAUAUUCAAUUUUCAUCGACAAUAAAAUUUUUUUUUGAGAUUUAAUCUAAUUAAAUACAAAUCUAGAAAGAAUACCAUAAAUAAAAAUGCAAAAGAACCACAUGGUUUAAAGAAAAAAAUGUAACAAAAUCAUUUUAUUUUUGAAUGUUUCAAAUAACUACCUCAAUUAUAUUAUGAUGGAAUUAAAAGAUGCAUUAUGUUAGAAAUCAAAUUAACAAAAAUAUCAUAAAAAAGGCACAUAUGCCAUUGUAAUUUGAAAUAUAAUGGUUAAUAACGUUUAUCAAGUGACCAUUUUAUAAAAUUCUCACGUCAAUAAAUUUAAUUAUCAUAUAACUGUGUUUCGAGUGAGAAAAAAAUAAUAUACAUCCAAAAUUAAUUGCUACUUUGAGAGAAAUAGUAAUAUAGAAGGUGGUAUGAUAGAUGUAAUAUUAUGAUAAUGAUUGAAAAAGAAAUAGAGAGAAAAAGAAGUAUUAAACAUAUGUAUAAAAAUUAAAGUUCUGUGAACAUAAAAGUUGACAAAAAAAAAAAUAUAUAAGUUUAUAAAAUCUAAUGUGUGCCACCACAAGUCCAUCAAAAUAAAUUGCUGAAUUACAUAAAAAAAAAACGUUUUAAUUAUUCAUUAAUCGUGAUAUACUAUUUUAUUACAUAAAACUCAAAAAUUAUUAUACGUUAAAUCUAAAAGAGUACGAUUAAAUAAAAUAAAAAAGAGUACCAUUACGGCAUGCAUGUACAUGUUCUAACAUUAGUAACGCAUAGCUAAUAUAUACACAUUUCAGAUAAAAUCUGUUAGAAAAGAAUAAACCAAGUUCAAAUAAAAACUUCAACAACUGGUCUGAAAUUGAGAAUUUUAGCAAUAUUAUUUCCUCUUAUAUCAACUUGGAACUUGAUCGCACACUUCUACUUUCUUAUAUUUACAUAAUAAUUGGGAAUUUUUUUUUAUUAUAAGACAAUUUUUUAUUACAAAAAAGUCAUUUAUAAUGAAACAAUUUUUUUAUGAAUUAAAUAUUCUGUGGGGCUAGUAGUGUACACGAUAAAAAGUAAUUUUUAUAUCAAAAAUUGUAACAUCAAAUUCCAAAGCCAUUAAUCUAAAGAUAAUAAAAUUUUAAAAAUAAGAAUAAUCUAGAUCAUCAACUUCUAAAAGACCAAUCAAUAAUAAAUCCAAUAAUUAUAUCUAAGUGUUUUUGCUUUUAAUUUUGAAUAGUUUAUAUAGUUUAAACUUAAUUGUACACAUGUUACAGACACAACCACCGAUCAAUUACUACUAAAUGCAAUCUUUAUAAAUAAAUCAAAUACAAUAUUCCAAUUUCAAUAUCUUCAUGUUAAGAGUAAAACAUGGCUUAAAUAUUACAAUAUCUUCAUAUCUACAUAUAAAAAUCAUUUUAUCUCCGUAUUGUUUUUUUAAAAUCAAUUUAGGUAGAUUUAUUAGACAAACUACAAACAUAACUUAAAUAUAAGAAAAAAUAAUAAUGAGUACUCUAAAGGUAUUGAUUAAGAGAAUAAAUAUAGAAAUCUUUUAUGAGAAGUGUACCGCAAACAAACCUCAUUUAUCCAUAAUUAUUAUUAAAUACAUUUACUAUUUCCUAAGAAGAUGAAUCAAUGCAAAAACUACAACUAUUAAAUUAAUAACAUAUUAUAUUAACUAUAUUAAUCACAUUAUUUUUUAUAAUUUCAAAAUUAGCUUUAUUUAGGAGGAUAUAUUUUGCUUUAAUGACUUACCAAGUUUAUUCCUAAGAAGAUGAAUCAAUGCAAAAACUACAACUAUUAAAUUAAUAACAUAUUAUAUUAACUAUAUUAAUCACAUUAUUUUUUAUAAUUUCAAAAUUAGCUUUAUUUAGGAGAAUAUAUUUUGCUUUAAUGACUUACCAAGUUUAUAUAUAAAUAUAAUUAUACUACAAAUCAAACUCAUUUCUCCAUAAUAAUUAUUAAAUGCAACUACUAUUUUCAAGAAGAUCAAGAAAUGCAAAAACUAUAACUAUUGAAUUAAUUAGAUAUUAAAUUAAUAUAUUAUAUUUUAUAAUUCCAAAAAUACUGUUAUUUUAAGAGAUAAACUUUUAUUUCAAUUACUUACCAAUUUUUAUAUAAAUAAAGAUUCAACAAAAUAAAUAGGUAUGAAAAACAAAAAGAGAUUUGCUAAAUAUAUAUAGUGUUUAAUUGGCUGAUUCGAGAAUAACGAGCCAUCAAAACGCUUAUUGAGCCAUUGAAAGGUUAUUGAGGUAAGUAAUUUUUCUAAAUUUUGACAAUUCCCUGGCUAAGUUGUUUGAUAAUUUCUUUAAUCAUAAACAUAAUUCUAGAUUUUUAUAACAACAUAAUAUUCAUAUAUAAUCAAUAAAAAAUAGUUUUUUAUAGGCCAAAAUAUACUUUUAGUAUUGUAAAUUUAACCAAUCCCAUUUAGGUCUUUUUAAGUUUGUUUCUCCGAAUUAGUUGUUUAAUUUAUUCUCAUUAGCAUAAUUAAUCUUUAAGUUAUGAUCCAUUUACAUAAAUUUUUUUUUUGUUAGUUUCAUUAAGAAAGUGUCAUGUGGCCGUUAUGUUUACUCAUGUAGAGGUGUAAGAACAAAAUCAAUAACCUAAAAGUCCAAAUCAAACCAAUUAAAUUUGUUUGGUAUUUUUCCUUGUUUGAAUCUAAACCAAAUCAAUCAAGUUUAAUAUCUAUUGGUUCGAGUAUCGGUUUUACUUCAUUCAAAACCGAUCAUCUGAAACUCAAAUCAAACAAUUAUGUUUUAUUAUUAUAUUUUAUAUUUCAGACUAUAUUAAUAUAUUUAUCUUAAAAAAAUAUGAUGCAUAUUUACGUUUUUCUUUGUAGCUUCUAUACUUUUUUAAGUUGUAUAAAAAAUUUAGUAAUUUUAAUAAAAGUUAAUAUAUUUUAGAUUUUUUAAAAUAAAUUUUUUAAAUAUCAACUUGAUCCACUUGGACCAAACCAACCUGUUUUUCAUCAGAUUUAGUUUGGAUCAGAUUUUCAUAAGUAAAUAUUAUUAAAACAAAAAUCAAUUAUUUUUAAUGGAUUCAAAUUUAUUUUCUAUAAAAAAUCAAAUUGAUCCGUUACACCCAUAGACGUGCGUAUAACGGUGUUGAUAUGAAAAAAAUAAAUAUAUUUUUUAGUAAAUUUUUAUUAAAAAUAAAAAUUCUAAAAAAACAUAGAAUUCUUCUAAUCUAGAAAAAUGAAACUCAUUGUGGUACUUUAAGUUUAUCUCAUUUCUCAAACUAGUCCUUUAUGUUUUUUAAUUUUUAUUAAAUUGAUCCUUUAAAUUAUAUUUUGCUUGAUCUUUUAGUCAUUAUUUAUCCUCAUCAUCUUCAACUCUAAAUCUAUUAUUUCAAGUUGAGAUUUAUUUUCAUAUUUUUGGAUUUAGUUUCAUAUUUGCUUAGUUUUUUAAUUGGGGUUAUGAUGAAGAUGAUGAAGGUUGGUGAUAAAUAAGAUGAAGAGUUCAAUUUGUAUUGUUGGAAGAAGAAGAAAAAAACAAAUUCAAUUAGUUUGUGCAAAUAAAAUACCUUCUGGAUAAUAUUAAAAAUGAAUUGAACUAAAGACUCCAUAAAAACACCAAUUAAUAGAUAUUUUUAGUGGAUUUAUNNNNNNNNNNNNNNNNNNNNNNNNNNNNNNNNNNNNNNNNNNNNNNNNNNNNNNNNNNNNNNNNNNNNNNNNNNNNNNNNNNNNNNNNNNNNNNNNNNNNNNNNNNNNNNNNNNNNNNNNNNNNNNNNNNNNNNNNNNNNNNNNNNNNNNNNNNNNNNNNNNNNNNNNNNNNNNNNNNNNNNNNNNNNNNNNNNNNNNNNNNNNNNNNNNNNUAUAUAUAUAUAUAUAUAUAUAUAAUUAUACUAUAAAUCAAGCUCAUUUCUCCAUAAUAAUUAUUAAAUGCAACUAAGAUCAAGAAAUGCAAAAACUACAACUAUUGAUUUAAUUAGAUAUUAAAUUUAUAUUAUUUUUUAUAAUUCCAAAAAUACCGUUAUUUUAAGAGAGAAACUUUUAUUUCAAUAACUUACCAAUUUUUAUAAAUAAAGAUUCAACAAAAUAAAUAGGUAUGAAAAAAAAAAUUGCUAAAUAUAUAUAGUGUUUAAUUAGCUGAUUCGAGAAAUAACGAGCCAUCAAAAAGCAUAUUGAGCCAUUGAAAGGUUACGAGGUAAGUAAUUUUUUUAAACUUUGACAAUAUGCUGGCUAAGUUGUUUGAUAAUUUCUUUAAUCAUAAACAUAAUUCUAGAUUUUUGUAACAACAUAAUAUUCAUAUAUAAUCAAUAAAAAAUAGUUUUUUAUAGGCUAAAAUAUACUUUCAAUGUUUUAAGUUUAACCAGUCCCAUUUAGGUCUUUUUAAGUUUGUUUCUCUGAAUUAGUCAUUUAAUUUAUAUCUCAUUAGCAUAGUUAAUCUUUAAGUUAUGAUCCAUUUACAUAAAUAUUGUUUUUUUUUAGUUUUGUUAAGAAAAUAUCAUGGGGUCGUUAUUAUACUUACUCCUGUAGAGGUGUAAGAACAAAAUCAAUGAUCCAAAAGUCCAAACCAGACCAAUUAAAUUAAUUAAUUUGGUAUUUUUUUUUGUUUGAAUCUAAACCAAAUCAAUCACGUUUAAUAUCUAUUGGUUCGAGUAUCGGUUUUACAUCAUUUAAAAUUGAUCACCUGAAACUCAAAUCAAACAUUAUGUUUUAUUAUUAUAUCUUAUAUUUCACACUAUAUUAAUAUACUUAGCUUAAAAAAUAUGGGGCAUAUUUACCUUUUUCAUCGUAGCUUCUAUAUUUUUUUUAAAUUGUAUAAAAAAUCUAGUAUUUAAAUAAAAACUAAUAUAUUUUAGAUUUUUUAAAAUAAAAUUUUUAAAUAUCAAUUUGAUCGACUCGAACCAAACCAACCCGGUUUUCAUCAGAUUUAGUUUGGUUCAGAUUUUCGUAAGUAAAUAUUAUCAAAACCAAAAUCAAUUAUUUUUCAUGGUUUCAGAUUUAUUUUCUAUCAAAAACCAAACCAAUCUGUUACACCCAUAGACGUGUGCAUAAUAGUGUUGAUAUGACAAAAAUAAAUAUAUUUUUUAAUUAAUUUUUAUUAAAAAUAAAAAUUCUAAAAAAACAUAGAAUUCUUCUGACCGAGAAAAAUAAAAUUCAUUGUGGUACUUUAUGUUUGUCUCAUUUCUCAAACAAGUCCUUUGUGUUUUUUAAUUUUAUUAAAUUUGUCCUUUAAAUUGUAUUUCGUUUGAUCUCUUAGUUAUUAGUUCUCCUCAUCAUCUUCAACUCUAAAUCUAUUAUUCUAAGUUGAGAUUCAUUUUCAAAUUUUUGGAUUUAAUUUCAUAUUUGCUUAGUUUUUUAAUUGGAAGUUUUUGGGUUAUUUUUUAAGUUUAUGAUGAAGAUGAUGGAGGUUGAUAAUAAAUAAGAUGAAGAGUUCAAUUUGUGUUGUUGGAAGAAGAAAAAACAUGUAGUUUGAAACCCUAAACCUCUACUUGAAAUCCAUAAAAACAAACGACUCCAUAAAAAUUGAAUAUUAAAAAUGAAUUGAACUAAAGACUCCAUAAAAACACCUAUUAAUAGAGAUUUUUAAUGGAUUAAUAUUGGGUUUCUCUUUUCUAACAAUAACACAUUUUUUAAUUCUUAUUGGAAUGAAUAAUUUUUUGUUUUUGGUUUUCUCUAAUUCACAUAGUCAACGUUUUGAAUUUUUUUAUUAACAUUACAAAUUUUAAAUUUUAGGUUUUUUAAAGAUGUAGUAGAAAAGAUGGUGAAAAGGAGGAUGAUAAAGAGAAUUUGGGCGAAAAUUAAGUUAAACUUAAAACACCAUAUAAGUAUUUUAGUCAAAAUUUAAAGGACCAAUAUAAGAAUUAUUUAUUUUCAUGAUUUAUUACGUCAGUACCGUUACGUGGACGUCAAUAUUGUAAUGAUCACAUGACAUUUUUUUAGCAAAAAUGUUAAAAAGCGGUCACUACUAGAAAAUCUUGUUUUAGCUGUCAUAUUUAGCGUCGACCCCCAACUCCGACGCUAGUUAGUGUUGAUCAAGCUCACGCUAGUUUGAUAAAUUAUUUUUGAUUUUUAAAAUUUUUAACGUCGGUGUGUCCGACGCCAAUUAAAAAAUAUAGCAGACGUUUGUUUCUUUUUUAUUUGUCACCAUUGUAGCGUUGGGGUAGCCGACGCUACAUUAUCUGAUUUGUAAAAUUAAAUUUUUUAAUUUUAUUUAAAAUAUUAAAAUUAUUUUUUCUUAUUAUCCCUCACCACCCCCUUUUCCAUAUCCCUCGCUUCAUUAAUUGUCACUCUCACCCUCUCUCCGCCGCCUCUCUAUUUCCCUCGCCUCACACUCAUUCUCGCGGCCUCACCUUCACUCUCGUCUCUGUGCCUCACUCUCACUCUCGUCUUUCUCAUUUUGUCUUCUCUUCUCAAUUCCACUCUCGUUCCUCUCUCAUCAAUGAAAACACUCUUACUACCUCGUCUCCUCCUUCUCCUUCUUCCUAUCCCUGGUGGAGAUCCAUGGCUGCUUUCACCAUAACGUAACUAUCUGUCUCUCACUCUUAAUUUUUCAUAAUCACUAUACUAUCUAUUUAUUCUAUUAUUUUUUUUAUUAGGCUUUGGUUUGAAAUCAACUAGGUUUUUGAGGUAAUGAUUUUGUUUAUUUAUAUGCAUUGAGUUUACAAACAUGUUUUACACUUCAUCGAUACAUUGGAAAUAGGCUUUGAGAAUUGAUGUUAUGAUGUUUUAAGACAGUGAAAUAUGACUGGAUAUCAUGUUUUAUAUCAAGGUGAGUUUUAAGAAACAAUUGAUGUUUUUUUUUACCUAGAACUAGAAUUGUAUAUAUGUAAAAGGUGGUAGAAUGAGAUUAAGUAAUUUUAAGUUUUAGCUGAUGAUUCUCAUUAUUGUCAAAUUGGGUGCUUGUGUAGCUUUGUCCACUAUUGAAAGGAGAAUUUAGAUUAGUAUCUAUUUCUAAUUCUAACAAAAAUAUUGAAGGGGAACUUUAGGCAUGAGGUAUGCUUCUGCAAUUUUGUGGUUGUUCAGUUAUGCACAUAUUUAAUAAUUGUGUUUUGUGUUGCAGAAUAUGAUCACUGGAGCUGCCCAAAUGGAUGGCGGUAUCCUUGUUGUAUCUGCACCUGAUGGACCAAUGCCUCAAACCAAGGAACACAUUCUUCUUGCUUGCCAAGUAGAUAUUCUAUUAAAGUGGCUUGUUAGCAAUCGAAGCUAAUUUUUAGUUCUGCAGUUACUUCCUUGCUUCCACAUCAACACAUAUUUUAUCUUUACAUGAAUUGUGCAGGUUGGUGUGCCAUCUCUUGUGUGUUUUUUAAAUAAAGUUGAUGUCGUCGAUGAUCCAGAGUUGUUAGAGCUUGUAGAAAUGGAGCUCCACGCCCUCCUUUUGCCCUAUUCAUCAUAAGAAUACACCUGCCUAACUUUCUGAAGUCCUCCUCAUGUUUGUUAAAAUUUGAACUGGAUUUAUGUUCGUUAUGUAUCUGAUAGAGCUUUUGAGCUUCUUCAAGUUCCCUGGAGAUGAAAUCCCUAUCAUUAGAGAUUGUGCAUUGUCUGCUCUACAAGGUACAAAUGAAGAGAUUGGAAGAAAGGCCAUUCUAAAAUUAAUGGAUGCUGUUGAUGAAUACAUUCCCGACCCUGUUAGCCAGCUUGACAAGCCUUUCUUGAUGCCCAUUGAAGAUGUAUUCUCAAUUCAGGUAAAAGGCAUGCAAUUGUGCAUUCUUUUCUAUUAUCUUACUUUUAUUUGAAGAGUGCCAACUUAUUGAAAUAAAGAUGAGCUAGGUUAUAUACAAUCUUACAAUAUUUAUUAGUCUUAAGGUAUUUUUAAUCAUUCACUAUUAAGCCUUGCUAUUAACAUCGACACAACAGUGUGGCGUCUAUCGAAUUUCAAUUGGAUAUGAUACUUCAAACAUAUUGUUGUCUCAAUUUUUUGUUCUAUUUUUUAAGAAAACAAUAGAAUAUCAAAGUAUCACAAGCUGCAUUAGUUCAUCUUGUAUGUUUCAAAGCAAGAACGUCACGUCCGCUGCUUUGUAUCUAAUUUGCUCCUAUAUAUUUUAUUUGCUAUUAGUGGUGAUUAGUAUUUUGUUCUUAGAUGGACAUUGGUCAAUUUUUAUUUAUCGGAUUUUUAAUAAAUUCCUUGCAUUGUAAUGGUAGUUCCUAAAACUAAGUUUUCCCUGGUAGGGUGGUCCUCUGAAAACAACAUUAGCUGGAGUUGAGAUGUUCAAGAAGAUUCUGGGUCAAGGACAAGUUACUGUUAUCUUCAUCUUAAGGGCUAUUUUUAUAACAUAUUAAACUAAUAUGGAUUUUUACAUAUCUUAGGCUGGUUAUAAUGUUGGUCUUCUUCUUCGUGGUUUUAAACGUGAAGACAUUCAACGUGGUCAAGUUAGAAUCAAUGAAUAAGUUUUUCCUCCACUACUAGAAAUCAACGAUUUACCUGCGGAAUGUCCUGCAGAUUUAAGCUAAACAUCUGCAGGAACACACGUUACCUACGAAUUUAUUGACGGAUUCAUAUCCCCACAUAAAACCUUCCUGGAUAAUUAUUACCCGAUGAUUUUUUAAUCUCCAGGGAAACUACCUGCGGCUUUAUCCGCAGGAAAAGUAAAUAAAUUCCGCAACAAUUGCUGAGUAAACUUAAGGCAUUUUCUUACGGUUUUUCACACAGAAUUAUCUGUAGUACUAUUCCUUCAAAUUUGUGUCGCUUGAAAAUCCGCAGGUAUAUAUCCAAAUACACCAAAAUACCUUUCGUAUGAAUAUCCAAAUACCUUUCCUAUGAAUAUCCGCAGGUGAUUUCGCAUCAAAAUUAUUUUUAGAGAAAAAUCCACAUAAUAUUUGCUAAAAUUUCCACUGUAAAUUAGUUUUUCUGAUUUUUUAUUUAUAUAAAAAUUUCAACUAAAAAUAUAUGAAAACAUUAUUAUAAAUAUAUUUUUUAAAUAUUUAAUAUUAGUCUUUAAUUUAAAUACCAUUGCAAUACUGUAAAACAAAACUUAUAUUAUGUUAACAAAUCAAAAUUAAAUAUUAAUUAAAGAAUAAUUCAAGUAUUGUGAUACUUCUAAACAAGAUUUAUAACAUGUUCACAAAUCGUAAUUAAGUAUUAAUUAAAGCAUGAUUCCAAUAAAAAAACUAAGUAUAAUCAAGUACAUGAUACAACCAAAUUAACAAAAUAAAAGACAAAUACAUCACUACCAAUAUCUUUAUCCCCACUAUCUUCAUUAACUUGGACGAGAAGAAGAUCCAAAAAUUUCUAAAUGUUGCAUGAGAAAGGUGAAACUUUUGUUGGUCUCGACCAUCUCUUUUUUUUGUCAUGGUUUUGGUCGCAAUAAAAUUGGACAAUGUUGAUUACAGUAUCUACACAGUUUUUAUACCUUUUCAGUCCCUAAAACUAAAAAUAAAAAUUAUAGUCCUAGGUUCUCUUGUCAACACAUGCCUGCUUCAAAAGAAAUUGGACAAGCUGUUGUGUCACAGUGAAGAUAUCAAUAUCAGAAACUUUCUCAUGUAGCCAUAUAUAUCAAAAGCAGCAAAAUCGUCAAUCUAAAUGUUGUUCUUAAGUUAAUCAAUCUCAUUGAACCUAUAUUUCUAUUUUAGAAUAAAGCCAAAGAUAUGACAAGACACCACAACCCAAAAUAGUUUCACCACCACUAUCAUAUAUGUAAGGUAUAAAAAUUGGAUAACUUAUGUUAGGGGACAAUGAGACAUUCAUGCAUACACAUAUAUGGAUUUAAGAAGACAACAGUUUAAAUUAGUUUACCCCAUGUUUGUAUUUGGCAGAUCUGGAAGCCAGUUUAUUGAAAAACUGCAUUAAUUGAAACAGGGCUUUCCUUCUCAUAUCGCAAAGAAUAUAGCAAGACCAAACGUAGUCGGUCCAAAUGUUGGGAGCUACCAUGCAACACACGUUUACCUCGACUGCCGCGUAUAUGUGUCUCGGGUUGAGUUGAGUUGAUAUAUGAGGACAUGGCCAAUUUGAAUUGUUCGUCCCCCGAGAUGGUGACAUAGUAUCAAGCCUUUUAACCAAGUACUUCAGAGUUAGAAUGGUACCACAUUGUGAAGUAGAGUCUAAGCUCAUGCAUAGCAUUGCAUUUUCUUGUGAUUGUUUUGUUGUGAUUAAUAUGUAUUGUGUGCGAUGAUAAUUUCUGCGAUGAUUUGAUCUUACAGUGAAGUGUAUUGAUUUUUCUUGAUUUUGACUAUAUAAUGUGAUGUUUUUCCUUGAACAAUGUUUGUGUAAUGAUACGGUUCAUUGAUGAUUAAUUGCGUGUUCCUCUUAUUUAUAUUAUACUAUCAAUAUGAUUUCAAAACUCACCUCCUUCGUUGUUUGUUUGUGUUUGACUGGCUUGGCCCUGCGUUUGCGAAAUACCAGUUAUUACAGGUUAAUGAGUCUUGAAGUUCAAGUUUUGGAGAAACUCCGCUCUGAUAGGUGAUACCGGAAAUUAAGAGUUGUAAUGUGUAUUUUACUUAUGUUAUUACAAAUGACUUUUUAUAUGAAAAACUUAGUACGAGUAAGUCUUGCGAAUUAUAUCAAGAAAUUCUAGUUAAAUCAAGUCCAUUGACAUUGCACUGUUUUGAUUAAGGAACAAAGUUGAAUUGUUCCAUGUGUAUUUAGAGAAGCAUGAUAUCUUAAACUAGAUAUAAAAGUUUUUAUUAUAUUUAACGGAUUUUCUUUAUCCGCUGCGAGUUUUCUUCAAAUAAUUUAUACUAAAUUAUUAUAAAUGUUAUUUUUGAGUUUACGGUGUCACAACGAGUAGUAACAAAGACAAUUGCAUCAAUAUAUAAUCAAUAAUUUGAUUAAAAAAAUAUAUAACUAUUUCACUUUUAAAUACUCUUACUCUAUAUACUAAUUCCCAAUAAAGAGAACACUUGAAACACAAACAAUUUGAUAUUUAGAUAAUCGUAUACACCAUCACAUAAUUAGUCCAAAAAUUAGCAUCAAGAUUUGUUCAUCUCAUAACUCAAACGAUGAUUCUUCACACAUGUUCCAAAUUGAUCACGACUAAAUUUUCUUUUGAGUUAAUCUUCAUCAUUUAAAAGAUACAACAAACUAAAGGAAAUAUUUUCCAUAUAGCGAAAUAUUUAUUUACCAAAAGAUUAGCUAUCAAAUCAAAUUGAAUUAGGUAGUGCAUAAACCACUUUAAAGGUUACACGUAAUUCUAAAAAUUGAUUUCUACACUUAAAUUAUUAUAAAAUGUAUCACUAAUCAUUUAGCACAAAAAAAAAUCAUUGAGAAUUCAAAGUUUUUUUUCCUUAAACUAUUUUUCAAUAAAUCACGUCUAAAUAAAAAAAACAAAAAUAAUAAAUUACGUGUAUUUUAAAAAUCUAUAAGAUUUUUAAAAUUUCACUUGUACUUUAAUCAUCAAAAACACAUUUUUAUAUAAAUAAUCACUAUGAAAUAAUUAUUUUCAACUUAUCUUUUGAAAGAAAAUGUAAAUUAUAUAUAUAGAUAGAUAGGAAAUUUUUCAAUUAAUUAACACAUCUGAAAUAGUUCCAAUUUCUUUUCUCAAUACUUACAAAAAAAAAAUCAUAUACUUAUCUACAUUAAAGUAGUUGUGCACAUGACACAAAUCAUAAGACAUAUUUGGUUAUGAUAACACUAAUUGACAAAUCUACAAAAUAACAACUUCCUCUCACAUCAAGUACUCAAUAGGCGUAUAGAUACAUCUCGAGUUUCUAUCAAGCCAUAAAAUUGGUCUAAAACAAAACACACCAUCAAUUUUAAAGAUUUUAUAGGUCUAUUUUAAUCUUAAAAAUUAGAUCUCUAAUAAAAAAAAUGCAAUUUUAUAAUUAAAAAAAUAGAUAAAAUAAAUUUUAAUCUCUAUACACAUAUCAAUCUACAUGAUACACUUUACACAUACCAAUCUACAUGAUGCAUACCAUUUUGUUAGGUUAAUUCAUGUAACAAGAAAAAAUAUAUAAACAACACAACAUCUUCUCAUAUUAAACUCAAAUAUACAUUUUGACAAUGAUAACACAAAAACUACAUUUCUACUCAUAAAAUAAAUCGAUUAUCUAAAAUUUAGAUAAUUUUCCAAAAGGAGUUUAACUAUUGAGAUAAUUGUUUUAAAAUCUUUGUUUUUCUUUUUCUUUUCUUUUUCAAUUAAUAGACAUUUUAUCAUUUUACUUUUUUUAUUAACACAAUUAUAAAUCUCUAAUGAAUUCUUCAAGCCUAAACAUCAAGUUAAACUCUAAUGAGUUCACAAAAUCAUGAUCAAAAAAUCAAUUAUUUCAAAUAAAUAUUCCGACACUCUCAAGAUCCAAUAUUUACAUGAGGCCCCUCUAAACCAUAUAAACAACAAAUCUUUUUUCUUCUUCUUAAAAAUAACAUGUAAUAAAAUAUGGUGUAAAUUUUCAGCUAUUUUAAACGUUAAAUAAAAUCAAGAGUAUAGAAUUAUUAUUAUUUUAUAAAUCAUCAAAAAUCCAACUCAAUGUAAUUUCUUUAAAAUAAUCAAAAGUAAUUCAAAUAAAAGUUAUUUUCAUUCUACAAAAUAAGCCAAUUUUAACUCCCUCAUCGAUUUUUUUUUUUUUAAUUCUAAAAAUUCACAACAACGUUCUAAAUUAAUUUAUCAAAAUUUUUAUAAUCAUGCUAUGAUCCCAAAAGGCAAGAUCUAUAAUCGAUAAUUAAUAUUACCCGAUUAAAUUAAUAAUUUCAAUAUAUAGCUAGUCAAUAAAAAAAAUUAUUUCUAAUUACCACUCUAACAAAAACAAAUAAUCGAGGUUCGAAACUCAAACCACAAGUCCAAUCAAAAGGUUUGUAUUGUCAACAAUUCAGGUUAUAUUUAGACAUUUAGAUAGAAAUUAAGAAUGUGCAUUACAAUCAGAAUAAACAAGAAAUAAAUGGUUAAUUAGUAACUUCAAAAAUAUUAAAAGUAUACAAAAGUAUAUUGUGCAUAAUACAAUAAUAUAACGGGAAAAAAUUAUGAUAUUGAAAAUUAUUAAUACAUAACAAAACACAACCGACACGACUAACAUUCGACUAAUGAAUCAACACUCGUUCUCAUUGGACAUACAUGCUCUCAUACCACUAAUGUGACACCCUAAACCCCAAAAUAAUAUAUAAUAAUUUUUAGUAGAUUUUUUUUUUUGUUUUUGAUAACAAAAACAAUCACAAGAAAAUGCAAUGUUAUGCAUGAGCUUAAACUCUACUUCACAAAGUGGUACCAUUUUAACUCUGAAGUACUUGGUUAGGAGGCUUGAUACCAUGACACUAUCCCGGUGGACGGACAAUUCAAAUUGGUCCUAUCCUCGUAGAUCCCAUCUGUUAAGACAAACUCUCAAAUUAAAGUUUUGAUGAAAAUAAACAAAGGUUAAUUAAGAAUGUUAAUUAUGAUUUUAAAAUGUUAUGUUAAUUUAACUUGUGCUUUUGAGUUAAUUAAUUCAAAGAUAGGAAUCAAGCAAAACAAAAAAAUCAGAUAAAAACUGAACAAUAAAGAAACAAGAAUAUUCUAGACAGGGGCGGAGCUUCCUUGGGACUAAGGGGGGCCGUGGCCACCCAAAAAAAAAAAUUUAUAGGUACAAUGACUAAAAUGUCCAUUUUAAAAUUAAAAAAUUACAAGCAUACCUAAACUUAAUUCAGUUUUAUCUUUCUUCCUCUCUCUUCCAUCCAGCCUUCCUCUCUCCCUCUCUCCCUUUUGCUUACAAGUUCCAGCCUUCUUCUCUCCCUCCUCCAUAAUCAGAUUCAUGAAUCAAGACAAAUGUGCUGUCGUCUCUCUACGACAAUCGCUCGUCUGCUCGCUCACGAAAUCGCUCGCUGAGGCCAAUUGUUCGUCUGCCUGACUGCCUCUGUCCGUGGCCAUUCGUCGCUGCCUCUCUACUCGCCGCAACCUCAUCAAUCAUCUGUCUCUAGAUCUCGUUGCUGCUUUGUUCAAAAUGUUCGAAUUUCUAUUUUGUUAUUGCUGAUUUUUGUUAGUUAGUGUUGAUUUUUGUUAGGUUUGAUUUUUGUUAGCAUAAAAUUUAAAGCUUAUAUUGUUAUUGUUGAGUUUAGAGUUUUGAUUUGGAGUUUGAAAUUUUGAUUUGGAGUUUUAAUUAGUUGAUUUUUUUUUUAGAGUUUUUGUGUUGCACAUAAGGUGUUUGAGUUUAUGUCAAUAUAAAGUGUUUGAGUUUUUUUUUGUCGCACAUAAGGUGUUUGAUUUUAUGUGUUUGAGUUUUUUUUUUUUUUGCAUACAAGGUGUAUGAGUUUUGUUGCAUUUUUGUUUGAGUUUUUUUUUGUCUAUAUAAAGUGUUUUAUUUUUUUUGUUGAAUAUAAAAUGUUUUAUGUUUAUUGAAUUGAUUGAUUUAGAUAAGUUUGUGAGAACGAAGAAGAGUAGAAGAAUUGAUUCUUUUUUCAUGAAGAAAACUUGUGAGAGUGAAUUAUGUCGGCCACCCCAAACUUUUCAGUCAAGCUCCGCCACUGAUUCUAGAUAAAACAGAGAAUGUUCUCCAAGAUCAAGACUGAUCAUCACAGCCUCAAGAUUAAUCAAUCUGCACUAGUUCAUAAAAGAUUCUGCCUCUAAAUUUCAUGCUAAUGUUAUCAGUACUUGGCAAGGAACAAGUAUGAUUCAUUCUAGUCAAAGAAGGCAUUCGAAUCACUAAGAUAAAAACUCAUGAAUCCAAAAAGAUAAAACAAGUAUGAAACUUAUCCAACUUAAUUGUCAAGAAAGUUAAUCAAUUUUGGUAUGUACAAAAUCAUCCAGAUUGAUCGGGAAGUCGUCCAGAAUAAUCAAACAUUGAACCUCAAGAUUGAUCAUCAAUCUCCUGAAAGUACAAGACUGACAAUCUAGAUCGAUUAUCAAUCUCCAUAAUUCUGCAGAAGCUCGGUAUCAAUCUCCUUAUAUCUGUAGAAGUUCAUCAUCAUUCUCCAAAUUGAUUUGAAUAGAAUCGAGUUUCCAGAUCAAAGAUUUAACAUCAACAAAUUUAUGUGAAGCAUAAAGGAUCAUUAAACACAGGAUAAGACUGAUCAUGAACGAAUAAACCAUCCCAGUCAAACAUAUUUUAAAAAGUAUUCAAAAGCUGAAUAUUUUUAUUCACAUAUAUUAGUUCUCUUAUCUCCUUAUUUAUUAAGUCUGAUUGAUUACUUGAAUUAAAACAUAAAUUGAAUUUUUGUUUUCAAGCUAACCAAUAACGUUCUCCGUUUUUUGUUUUCUUAACCAAGAUCAUUCCUAAGUAAAAUCCUUAAGUUUUUCAGGAAUUUUGAAAUAGAAACAUUUACAAUUCAAACCCAAUUCUUUGUAAAUCGACAUUACUACUUCACCCUCAACUCCAUGCGAGUCACAUAUAUGCAAAAGUAGAGGUAAAUGUGUGUUACAUGGUAGCUGUCGACAUUUGGAGUGCUACCUCCUACUCACCUAGGAAUUCUCCAUCCGAAUAUCUCCAAUGUCUAACAAUUUUUCCUUAAGGCUCAACAGCAGACUUCCAUGAUCAGGCGCAUUCAGUUGUACUUCCUCGAAAUCACUAGGCUUAUUAGACCCUACUUAUAUUAUGAUAAAAUAAUCUCCACAUCCGAGUGCCAUAAGUAUCCGACUUCAACUUCAACGAAAAAUGUAAAUGAGUAGUUCUUCUUGUAAGUUUCGACAAGAGAAAUCCAAAAAUAAUACUAUUUUUUUGAGACGACAAACGUAGUGAUCAGAUUUGGCCAAAAAUAGUUCGCCCAACGAAAGAAACGCAUUUGUUUUUAUGAAACGGAGCCACGAUUGAUAAAAUUGGCACCAAAAAUGGAUUUAGUGGCCAAUUUUGUGUGGACAGAGAUUGUGAUCGAUUCAAGCAACAAAGAAUUGGUGGAAACGAAAUUGAGAGAAAAAUUGUUUCGCGGCCUUUAGUCUGACUUUCAAUUUAUAUUUUUUUAAUUGCAAUAUGAGUGGUGUAGAGAGAAAACGUAGAGAUAUAAGAAUAAAACUGUAAGUCCCAACACAGAAUAGUAAAGUCUGAGGCAGCAGGUGUAGGAAAUAAAAAACCAACCAAUAAUAGCUCAAAUUAAUAUGCAGAAGUAAAAAAAUAAGGGUGUAAACAGUCGUCUGGUCCAAAAUUCAUUUUCUAGUAUUUCUAAAAGUCUUUAAUAAAUAAUUUAUUUUACUUAUCCACGCUAUAAACUUUUUCUUCAAAACACUCAUUCUAACAUAAUAUUAUUUUUCCUUAAUAUAGAUAAAUCUAAUUUUAGUCAAAACUCUCAUACUCAAAAUAGUAACUAUAAUUAUUACUAUAAUAUUUGUUUCAAAAUAAUAAUAUAAAAAUACAACAUCUUUAUAGAUUAUUCGAAAUAAUAAAAUAAAUAAAUAUAACAUCAGCGAUUUAUAUUAAUUACUAAAUCAAAAUGAAUAUGUAAAAAAUCAUCAUACCGUAAAAACUAUAUAGAAAUAAAGAAAAUCAAUAUCAAUAUUACUAAAAUACUAUUAUACUUUAAAAUGUGUACACUAAAAUACUAUUAUUUUUAGUAAAAUAUAUAAAAUAUAAAAAUAUAAUAUUUGAUAUUUAUAUCACUCAUUUAGUCUAACAUGUACAAGAUUAAAACAUGAUAUAAAGAAAAUUAAUCCUAAAUUUAAUUAACAUAUAUUAUAAAAUAAUUUUAACAUCAGUUUAAAUAUUUGAAAUUAUAUUUCAUUAAUAAAAUAAUUUAUUAUAAAAUUUGGAGUGUUAAAAUACUUUUAUCGUCUCUUCAACCAAGAAUUAUUCACAUUGAUCCCUAAAAGAAGACGCUUUUAAAAAUUAACCUUCAAAGUUCAUAAGACUAGACUUUAUUUCCCUCACAUUGACCCACAAUUUAACCUUGACAAUCAACGCCUAAUGCUCCCAUAGCACCAAGAGUCUUAAAUUGAACACAUUCCACAUAAUAACAUACUAACAUUGAGAUUUAGUAUAGAAAUAAAAAAUUAUAAUAACGUACUAAUAUCGAAAUAUUUUAUAAAAGUUUAGGGGACCAUUCGGUCCUUGAAUUCUUUGUUUCGUUUAUUUGGUUGAAUAACAUUAUUUUUUUUUGCAAAUUCAAAUAUAUUUUUUUUGGACAAAUUUAAAUGGUUUAUUCUUUGACCUUCAUAAAUUUAAAUGGUUUAGUUCUUGAGAGAAUCAUUUUAUUUCGUGCGAUGAGAUAUUUGUUUUGACAUAUUUCUACUCUUUGUUCAUUUAUGAUCAUAAAUUUGAAUUCUCAUUUCUUAGAUUCAGUUUUAAAAAGUUGUUUAUCUAAUGGGUAUAGUAAAUCUAAUAUUUAUUGAAAGAAAAUGAUCAUGAAUUGCAUUAUUUUUAAUAAAAACUAUUGUAAAAAAUUAAAAUUAUUAAUAAUGAUUCAAGAUGGAUUUUCAAUUUGACAUUUGUUGAUAAAAAAUAAUUAAUUAGUUGUCCAUAAAUUAUAAAUAAAGGAACUAAAUGAGAUUAAAGAAGCGAAUCUGUUAUAAAAAUAAAAAUAAAAAUGAUCACGUACAUAUGUUUACAUAAACAGUUGUACAUGGUAUGUAAAACAUCAAUUUUUUUUUAAAGGUAUACAACAUCAAUUAUUAUUAUCAUUCAUUCACCCAAUCAUGCAAUGAUUAUAGUGUAUGCUUUAUUUAUAUUUUAUUUUUACAACUAAUAAUGCAUUGGCCUUCUCCCUGACCCAUACCCUUUCUCUUUAUUUUUUUUCUUUCAUUUUAUUUUCCAUUGCUAUUGCUAUUGCCCUCGACCCAUACCCUUUUCCUUUCUUUCCUUCUGCUUUGCUUCCUUUGCCAAAGCUAUUUCCUUCUGCUUUGCUUCCUUUUCCAAAGCUCUUGCCUUCUGCUUUGCUUCCCUUUCCUUUUGCUUUGCCAAAACUAUUUCCUUCUGCUUUGCUUCCUUUGCCAAAACUCUUUCCUUCUGCUUUGCUUCCCUUUCCUUCUGCUUUGCCAAAGCUCUUUCCUUCUGCUUUGCUUCCUUUGCCAAAGCUUUUUCCUUCUGCUUUGCUUCCUUUGCCAAAGCUCUUUCCUUCUACUUUGCUUCCAUUUUCUUCUUCUUGCAAAUGAUGUCAGACAAUGCACACAUUAUAUCCGUUAGACUAUCCAAUACUAAUCUCCUUUCUUUCUGUGCCCUUGCUAUAUCAGCUUUUCUCGUUGCUUGUUCCCUUUUGCGUUCCAUGUGUAAUCUCCUUGCUUCAUUACUAAAAUCUAUAUAAAAUUGUGUGUUUUCCCUUUGCUUUGCUUUCUUUUCCUUCAGCUUUGCUUCCUUUGCCAAAGCUCUUUCCUUCUGCUUUGCUUCCUUUGCCAAAGCUAUUUCCUUCAGCUUUGCUUCCUUUGCCAAAGCUCUUUCCUUCUGCUUUGCUUCCUUUACCAAAGCUAUUUCCUUCUGCUUUGCUUCCCUUUCCUUCUGCUUUGCUUCCCUUUUCUUCUUCUUUGCUUCCUUUUCCAUCAUCCUUUCUUCCUUUGUUUUAUUUCCCGCACCAAUGGGCUUAUUUUGAUCAAAAGAUUCUAUAUCUAUGAGUUUUCGCCCACCAUCAAGCUUAUCUACCAAAACAUUUUUCUUUGACUAUUUUGUAUAUUGUUUACCUACUUUUAAUGUCUGUGUUGCCACAACAGAUAAAAGAAAUAGUGCACAAAGGAAACACAGAUUAAAAGCUUUGAUUUUCAUCAUUGCUACAAUUUCUAAGAAUUUAAUUGUUGUGAAACAUAUGAAUAUAUUCGGCAAGAUAAAUAGGUAUGAAAAUCAAAAGUAGAUUUAUUAAAUAAUAUAUUAUUUAAUUGGCUUUCGAGAAUAUUGAGCCAUUGAAGGGUUAUUGAGGUAGGUAAAGUGUUUAAACUUUGACAACUACGAGGUUGCUUGAUAAUUUCUUUAAUAAUAAACAUAAUUCUAGACUUUUGGUAAACAUAAUUAUCAUACGUUGUCAAUAAAAAAUAGUUAUUGACACGAUAAAAAAAAUUACUCUUUUAAUUCUAGACUUUUGGUAAACAUAAUUAUCAUACGUUGUCUAUAGGUUUUAUUUAUUUAUUUUUGAUUUAGUCAUUAAUUUUAUCUCAUUAGCCACAUUAAUUUUUAAGUUAUAAUCCACUUACGUAAAUUUUUUAUAAAUUCCUUUAAAAAAGUAUAAUGUGGCAAAUUAAAUUGAAGCCAUGAUUGAUAAAAUUGAGUUAAAAGUUUCAAAAAUGUUAUCUUUUAAGUUAUAAGUUCUAAUGAAAAUGAGUCAUGAUCGAUAAAAUUGAAACCAAAAAUAGAUUCGGUGGCCGAUUUUGUGUGGGACAGUGGUUGAGAUCGAUUCAAAUGUAAAAGAAUUGCUGGUAGUGAAUUUGAGAGAAAAAAGGUUUGCUGCAAUUUGGUUGCCAUUAAUCUGAUUUUCAAUUUUUAUUCUUUUAAUCGCAGAAGGAGGGGUUGCAGAUAGCAGAUGUAUAGGAAAAAAAGUAAAACUGUAAGACCCAACACAGGAUAGUAAAGUCUGAGGCAGAAAUAAGAGUGUAAUGAGCAACUCGCAGCAGAGCAUUCUACCCUGCACCUCCACAUCUAAACCUGUCACCCCAAACCAAGGUGAAAAAUACAAUUUUGCCCUUCAACAUUUUUAAUUUUUAAUUUUUUCACCGCUCUUUCUAGAAUGUUCGAAAGUUUCAACAUGUCAAUUUCUAAAAUUUUCGAAACUUUAGAACAAUUCGAAACUUUCGAAAUAGAAUUCAAAAAUUUCUGAAACUUUCAAACAAUUCAAAACUUUUCAAAUUUUCCAAACUUGGAAACUUUCGAAAUUUUCAAAAUUUGGAAACUUUCGAAAAUUUUCAAAUUUGGAAACAUUCGAAACAUUCUUGAUUCGGAAACUUACAAAACAUUCUAAAUUUUCGAAACAUAAUCCUUAUUUUGAAAAUUUUCAAAUAUGGAAACUUUCAAAAUUUUAAAAAUGUAAUCCUUAUUUCACAAAUUUUAAAAUUCGAAAAUUUCAAAAUUUGAAACUUCCGAAUCUAUCAAUUUUGAAACUUAUGAUAAAUAGUUAAAAGGGUAAAAUUGUAUUUCCAUUUGUCUUGAGGGGUGGCAAGUUUAGGUAUGGAGGUGCAGGGUAGAAUUGUCCUUCGCAGCAACUGUAGGAAAUAAAAGUCCAACCAAUAAUAGCACAAAUUAAUAUGCAUAAGUAGAAAAUAAGGGUUUAAACAGUUAUCUGGUCUAAAAUUCAUUUUAUAGUAUUUCUAAAAGUCAUUAAUAAAUAAUUUAUUUUAUUUAUCUACGCUAGAAACGUUUUCUCCAA